rnacentral:rRNA from 1 species
AUGAACGCUGGCGGUAUGCCUUAAGCAUGCAAGUCGAACGGUGUUUUGCCGCAAGGUGGAACACAGUGGCGGACGGGUGAGUAAUGGUAAGGAACGUACCCAGAAGUGGAGGAUAGCUCGCCGAAAGGCGGGGUAACCCUGCAUAUGAUCGCAAGAUUAAAGAGCGUAACUGCUCGCUUCUGGAGCGGCCUUACUCCUAUCAGCUAGUUGGUGAGGUAAAGGCUCACCAAGGCUAUGACGGGUAGGGGGCGUGAGAGCGUGAUCCCCCACAAUGGCACUGAGACACGGGCCAUACACCUACGGGUGGCAGCAACUGGGAAUAGUUGUCAAUGGACGAAAGUCUGAACACGCGAUACCGCGUGAAGGAUGAAGUAUUUCGGUAUGUAAACUUCUUUUGCCAAAUCGUCGAGGUUUGGCGAAUAAGCACCUACAAACUACGU